rnacentral:lncRNA from 1 species
AGAUCCAUGGGAAACCAAUACAUCUGAAGGAGGUGGGAGUAGGAUCUUGCCCCAUUCAGCGUAGAAUCCAGGAUUUGUCCAUCAACAUGCGCAUGAAGGAGCAGCUCAUUAAAGAACUCGACAAAACAAGUGUGCUUCCUCCCUCGUAAAAUAUUAUGUCUCCAACCCGCUUAUGUCAACAUUUACUAUGCGAUGGUAGACUGUUUAAAAACCCUCCAUGGUGUUUGUUUUAUUGCAAGGUGUUAAAUGACUCAAUAUUAUGAAAGUUGUUACUCAACAUGUUCUCGUAAGCCUGGCUUACUCGAACAGGCGAGCCAAGUGGAGCCAAGGCUCUGCCAGAAUUAUUUUAACAUAAUUCUUCCUGAGGCAAAGGUGGUUAUUACUCAGUGUGGAUCUUGGUCUGUGCGACAGGCAGGGAUGCCAGAGCCAUCGACACACAUAAGGAGGAUGGUAGGAAGGCAGGCGUGUUGAACAGACUGUCCCUGCAGAGCCAGCAGGCCCGGGCAGAGCUGUACCACAGCCUGCAACACCUGAGCCUGCAGAGAGAACGACUCCGAACCAGCCUGAAGCACCACUCUGCAGGGACUCAGUCCAUCAACAAGGGCUUAAUAAUAGAGGGAACCAGCAUCUCCCAAAGCAGACUCUUUGAAGGCACACAAGAAGAGGUGAAACUCACAAUUUAACAAUAUUGUUAUUAGAAUAAUAAUUAAACUAUGUUCUUGUUGUUACGCUGACUAUUGCCAUUCCACUCCGUAAUCGCCUAAUUAUCCUUCUUCCUGGUUAAAGGAGCAUGAUGGUGAUUGGCUGGAGAGGGAGGAGGAGCGGGCCCUGCAGCGGAGGGCGGAGCUCCAGGAGCUGGAGGCGGAGCUAAAGAGGAGAGAGGAGAUGCUGCUACGCAAGGAGGCGUGUCUCCUGCAACGCAGCAAACUGGAGAACAAGAGGCUGCGUUCCAGCCAGGUCCUAAGUCAGGAUCUUCUGCGUGUUUCGACGCGGCUGGAGUCCCUCGAGGAACAGCUAGGGGGCAGUGGCCAGGCAGGGCACAACAGAGUGGUCACUGCAGAGGAACUGGAGAAGGAGAGAGACUCCCUCAGAAAGAGGAGAGAUAUCCUGAACACACAGCUCCGAGAUGGGAAGGGGCUGUCCACAAAGGUCAGGACAAGAGACGGUGACUGUGUGUUUGUGUAUGUGCUUGCGUCUCCAGAACUGAAUACUGCUUUUUGCUCUAUCCGCUAUUAUAAUGCAAUAUAUAUUAUAACACAAAAAAGGGAGACAUACAUUCCAAAAUUAA